GAUGAACGCUGGCGGCGUGCCUAAUACAUGCAAGUCGAGCGAACGGAUGAGAAGCUUGCUUCUCUGAUGUUAGCGGCGGACGGGUGAGUAACACGUGGAUAACCUACCUAUAAGACUGGGAUAACUUCGGGAAACCGGAGCUAAUACCGGAUAAUAUUUUGAACCGCAUGGUUCAAAAGUGAAAGACGGUCUUGCUGUCACUUAUAGAUGGAUCCGCGCUGCAUUAGCUAGUUGGUAAGGUAACGGCUUACCAAGGCAACGAUGCAUAGCCGACCUGAGAGGGUGAUCGGCCACACUGGAACUGAGACACGGUCCAGACUCCUACGGGAGGCAGCAGUAGGGAAUCUUCCGCAAUGGGCGAAAGCCUGACGGAGCAACGCCGCGUGAGUGAUGAAGGUCUUCGGAUCGUAAAACUCUGUUAUUAGGGAAGAACAUAUGUGUAAGUAACUGUGCACAUCUUGACGGUACCUAAUCAGAAAGCCACGGCUAACUACGUGCCAGCAGCCGCGGUAAUACGUAGGUGGCAAGCGUUAUCCGGAAUUAUUGGGCGUAAAGCGCGCGUAGGCGGUUUUUUAAGUCUGAUGUGAAAGCCCACGGCUCAACCGUGGAGGGUCAUUGGAAACUGGAAAACUUGAGUGCAGAAGAGGAAAGUGGAAUUCCAUGUGUAGCGGUGAAAUGCGCAGAGAUAUGGAGGAACACCAGUGGCGAAGGCGACUUUCUGGUCUGUAACUGACGCUGAUGUGCGAAAGCGUGGGGAUCAAACAGGAUUAGAUACCCUGGUAGUCCACGCCGUAAACGAUGAGUGCUAAGUGUUAGGGGGUUUCCGCCCCUUAGUGCUGCAGCUAACGCAUUAAGCACUCCGCCUGGGGAGUACGACCGCAAGUUUG
rnacentral:rRNA from 1 species